CCUACGGGAGGCAGCAGUGAGGAAUAUUGGUCAAUGGGCGAGAGCCUGAACCAGCCAAGUCGCGUGAAGGAUGACGGCCCUACGGGUUGUAAACUUCUUUUGUCAGGGAGCAAUUGGGUCCACGCGUGGGCGUAGCGAGAGUACCUGAAGAAAAAGCAUCGGCUAACUCCGUGCCAGUAGCCGCGGUCAUACGGAGGAUGCGAGCGUUAUCCGGAUUUAUUGGGUUUAAAGGGUGCGUAGGCGGAAUAUCAAGUCAGCGGUAAAAAUUCGGGGCUAAACCCCGUCGUGCCGUUGAAACUGAUGUUCUUGAGUGGGCGAGAGGUAUGCGGAAUGCGUGGUGUAGCGGUGAAAUGCAUAGAUAUCACGCAGAACUCCGAUUGCGAAGGCAGCAUACCGGCGCCCAACUGACGCUGAAGCACGAAAGCGUGGGUAUCGAACAGGAUUAGAUACCCCUGUAGUC
rnacentral:rRNA from 1 species